ACAUGACUCAAGGCAUGUGGAUGC
rnacentral:siRNA from 1 species